UGAAGUCAGUCGCGUUGUCCGGAACUCAGCCUUGCUUUUGCUUGGUGCACUUUCCGGAUGACGGGUCAGCAUCGAUUUUGACCGUCGGAAAAGGGCUGGAGUAAUGUGGCACCUCCGGGUGUGUUAUAGACUCUGGUCGCAUACGGCGGUUGGGAUCGAGGAACGCAGCGCGCCGCGAGGCAGGGGUUCGCCCACUUUCGCGCUUAGGAUGCUGGCAUAAUGGCUUUAAACGACCCGUCUUGAAACACGGACCAAGGAGUCUAACAUACUUGCGAGUGUUUGGGUGGAAAACCCGAGCGCGUAAUGAAAGUGAAAGUUGAGAUCCCUGUCGUGGGGAGCAUCGACGCCCGGACCAGACGUUCUCUGACGGAUCCGCGGUAGAGCAUGUAUGUUGGGACCCGAAAGAUGGUGAACUAUGCCUGAAUAGGGUGAAGCCAGAGGAAACUCUGGUGGAGGCUCGUAGCGAUUCUGACGUGCAAAUCGAUCGUCAAAUUUGGGUAUAGGGGCGAAAGACUAAUCG
rnacentral:rRNA from 1 species